AUUACACAAAAAAAGAGGACUAUCACGCUGAAAGGCUGCAGAUUAAGACAGUUUUUCUGGAUGAGUGACUCUAAAGUGGUAGCAAUGGACUGUUGCAAUGCAGUCUCUGCGGGGCUGUUCUUGAAUGGUAUUUAGAAGCUUCGGUUGGUUCAGAAUGGUCCAAAUUCAUUGCAGGAUUCAAAGUGCCAAGUUAGUUAGUUAUCCAGUCCAAUAGUCAAGAGUCCAAGAAUAAGUAAACACAGGAACCGGAGUCAUGAACUAGGAUUCCAAUUGAUUGUUUUCAAUAAAAAGGCAAAGCAGCUACAUAAAUAUGACUGCAGCCAGCUGGCUGCAAUUACUCAGGUCACGACCUUUGCCUAGUGAGAAGCCUCAUGGACUGGCGUAGCUUUGCUUUUCACUGCAUGCAUCAAGAUCUAUGGCUUGGAGGUUGUGUCUCAUCAUUGACUGCUCCAGCUGAUCAAGAGAUGCUUCGGAUUCCUCAGCCUCUUCAGAUGUAUCAUGGCUUGAAGUUUCCAAAGGCUGACAAUCCACAGACUCAAUUGGCACACCAUUGUCAGAAUCAGACUCAGGGUCUAAAUCUUUAUUGUGACCCAUAACUCUGCCCCCUGUGGUUUCUACUUGUUCCAUUAGAGCCAGCUAGGCAGACUUUCUCCCAUUCUCUUAGAUGAAGUGAUAUCAUUCUGGUGGAGCAUACCUUCUCUGUCAUGAUGUCUCCCUUAUGGAUCUCAACCUCCUUCCAGAGAUUUGUUAACCAAAAUGUUAACAAAGCCUGGGUUUGUGGGUA